rnacentral:rRNA from 1 species
GGCGUAAGCGCGCGCAGGUGGUUUCUUAAGUCUGAUGUGAAAGCCCACGGCUCAACCGUGGAGGGUCAUUGGAAACUGGGAGACUUGAGUGCAGAAGAGGAAAGUGGAAUUCCAUGUGUAGCGGUGAAAUGCGUAGAGAUAUGGAGGAACACCAGUGGCGAAGGCGACUUUCUGGUCUGUAACUGACACUGAGGCGCGAAAGCGUGGGGAGCAAACAGGAUUAGAUACCCUGGUAGUCCACGCCGUAAACGAUGAGUGCUAAGUGUUAGAGGGUUUCCGCCCUUUAGUGCUGAAGUUAACGCAUUAAGCACUCCGCCUGGGGAGUACGGCCGCAAGGCUGAAACUCAAAGGAAUUGACGGGGGCCCGCACAACCGGUGGAGCAUGUGG